rnacentral:lncRNA from 1 species
UCUUAACAAGUGUACUAAUUAAGUUAGAGUAAUAAAAUAAACUUGUGUCCACAAGGAUUGCACUAUUUUAACGAGUUUGUAAUUCAUGUGAUUUAAAAAGUAAAGUCGGGGGGUUUCAGAUAGGUUUUGUGGAAAAUAAUAAUACAAAUAAAAUUUGAUAAAAGUUCAGAUAAUGAGAAGGAGAUUAGAUGUCAUCAAAAUCCCUUAAUUUCC